rnacentral:tRNA from 1 species
GCGGAUGUGGCGGAAUUGGUAGACGCCCUAGACUUAGGAUCUAGUAAGUUUGCGCUUGUGAGAGUUCGAGUCUCUCCAUCCGCA